rnacentral:rRNA from 1 species
GGAGUUUGGUCCGUGUCUCAGUACCAAUGUGGGGGACCUUCCUCUCAGAACCCCUACUGAUCGUCGCCUUGGUGGGCCGUUACCCCGCCAACAAGCUAAUCAGACGCAUCCCCAUCAUAUACCGCCGAAGCUUUGGUCCUCGUUAGAUGUCUGCGAAGGACAACAUCGGGUAUUAAUUCGGUUUUCGCCGGGCUAUCCUCUAGUAAGGGGAAGGUUGGAUACGCGUUACUCACCCGUGCGCCGGUCGCCAUCAAAGGAAGCAAGCUUCCUUCAUGCUGCCCCACGACUUGCAUGUGUUAAGCCUGUAGCUAGCGUUCAUC